GCAUAACUGUAUCUUCAGGAUUUCACACUGAUGCUAGCCCAUCAACCUUCCAGCAAUCCUCUUCUAAAGUAGAUGAUCUAUAAACAGUUCUUGUGAUGUAGAUGAUCCAUACAUAGCUCUCAAGAUGCUAUGGAAUUGCUACCACAAAAGAAUGGACUUAACGGGGUUCUCAAGAAGAGGGAACUGCAAUGACAAAUUUGGGAACAGGAGACAUGAAGAAGGGAGACAAGACAAAAAUUUUUCUGAUCAAGUCUCAAUUUACUCUACGGAAAAGCACCAUUUAAAACUCCAGACCACAAAGAAUAUAACCAACAGAAAUAUUGUGAAAAACUCCUUCAAUAAAGGCAAGGCCUUUAUGUGAAGCUGGAUCUUCAUGAACUAUAAGUCAAUUCAUACAGAAACUGUACAUAUGUAAUGACUGAGGAAGAACAUUUUCAAAUAUAUAAACCUGAAAAGAGAAA